AACAUGAGGCUGGGAGACGAGUUUUGAUUUAAGUGGCCUUGUCCUUCGCUACUGUUAGUGUUGGCGGAGGAUUUACAGUCGGGAUAUUGCACCACGCUCGCCUCUUGCUGAGCCCCAUAAAGGGACUGUCUGGGGAGCGCCUCGUAGCCAUAGAAUUUGGAGGCGUCUCCGUGGCAGCUCAGCGAGCACGGGUUCUGCUGGUAGCCCGAGUUGGAGAUGCCCGAGGUGCCGUGGUGGAAGAAGUCUUGGACGUGGUGCGAGGCGUGCUGGAAGCCGGGCGCCGAGCCGCCGGGCCCGUACACCAGCGCAUGGCUCCGGCCCACGCUCUGCGGGAAGCGGCAGUCGUAAUAGGCCGGCUCCAGGGACUCGCCGCCUUUGUACUUGGAGAACAGGGGGUUGACGAAAGAGAGACAGAGAGAGAUACCUGAGCCAGCAGGUCAACUCAGGUUACCUCAACAGCCUGGAAAUAAAGGAACCGCAAGCAGCCAUCCUUGCUGGGGCGUCUCUGUCCCUCGCCCCGAGGCCUGCACCGCCCUACUAGGUGAGAGGAUUGAUUUGCUCAGAGCCAGAGGGGCCGGGCUGGGCCGGGGCGCCGGGCCUUCUCGUCGCUGCUCCUCGGGGCCGGGCCUCAAACGUCAGUGCGGCCAGGCCGGCCGGGGGCACCGCCGCCGCCUCUAACAUUGAGCAACAGCGCCACCUCGCGUCCACUUGCUCCAAUGCAGUCCGGCCGGGAAAAAGCCAACAGCUAGAGCAAGCAGAGACACUGUGCAAUGGAACUGCCGCGAUUUCCCCCGCGUUCAGGCUCAUUUCUGGCCUCGGAACACCUCCGCGCACGCAGAUGUACGCCCCGAAGCUCCCGCGACCGCCUGCCCGCGGCGCGCACCCUAAACUCCUCGUUCCUCUUACCCUGCCGCUGGCUCCGCACCGCCUAUUCCGCUGCCGCCUGCAGGACUUUGGGGUGGGAUUCUGACUUCUCCCGGCUCUUUGCCCCCUGGUUUGUAGCCCAUCCCUGUCUCUCACGCGCGCGCUCUCUCCACCUCUCCCUCCCAGCCAGUGAGGUCCUGUUCUCCGUGGACCAUAGACAAAACAUUCCUAUAAUCCGAUUUCAAAGGAAAGAGUGUCCACCUUAUUUAAACCAUAAAACAAGCCCAGACGUCUAGCCAGCUCCGCGCUGCUGUUUUGUUCGGCCCCAUUCAGAAUCCAGCGCAGGGAGACAAACAGCGCCAUAAAAGAGGCAUUUCGGGGCCGCGGAAAUGUACCUAUCCUCUGCCUUCCCAAGUGGAACAACCUUUAGGGUUUUGUGAUUCUGACAAAGGAGCAGAGGAGAGGUGGGAGGAGAAGAUUAGGGCAGGGGGGCGUUUGCAAGCCCCUCUUUCCUCCCCAGCUUUCGUUUCUUUCCCCAGAUGUGUGUUGUGUUGUUGUGGUUUGAGUUCACAAAUGACAAUAAAUAAAAAUAGAAUCCAA